rnacentral:ncRNA from 1 species
AGUGCUAGGGGUGCCUUUGUGCUGAGAAAUGAUUUUAUCAUUAACCCUCUUUAACCUGAUCUGGGUAAUACCAGCGUAGGAAAGCCAAGAAAUUU